rnacentral:misc_RNA from 1 species
UUUCCGUAGGUGAACCUGCGGAAGGAUCAUUAUUGAAUAAAAUUGUUUGAGUUGUUGCUGACUCUUUGGAGUAUAUGUGCACGCUCACAUCAUUUUUAACCACCUGUGCACCAUUUGUAGACUGUAAAUGCUUGAGGAUUGCCAUAUUAGCUGUUCUCGUAUUUAGGUCUAUGUUUUUAUAUACACUAUAAUUGUUUAAGAAUGUGAUAUUGGGCCUUUGUGCCUUUAAAAUUGAAACAACUUUCAACAACGGAUCUCUUGGCUCUC